GACGAACGCUGGCGGCGUGCUUAACACAUGCAAGUCGAACGCUGAAGCUCAGCUUGCUGGGUGGAUGAGUGGCGAACGGGUGAGUAACACGUGAGUAACCUGCCCUCUUCUUUGGGAUAACGCCCGGAAACGGGUGCUAAUACUGGAUAUUCACUGAUUCUCGCAUGGGGGUUGGUGGAAAGGUUUUUUCUGGUGGGGGAUGGGCUCGCGGCCUAUCAGCUUGUUGGUGGGGUGAUGGCCUACCAAGGCUUUGACGGGUAGCCGGCCUGAGAGGGUGACCGGUCACAUUGGGACUGAGAUACGGCCCAGACUCCUACGGGAGGCAGCAGUGGGGAAUAUUGCACAAUGGGCGAAAGCCUGAUGCAGCGACGACGCGUGAGGGAUGGAGGCCUUCGGGUUGUAAACCUCUUUCGCUCAUGGUCAAGCCGCAGCGUUGGGUUGUGGUGAGGGUAGUGGGUAAAGAAGCGCCGGCUAACUACGUG
rnacentral:rRNA from 1 species